GCGUGUGUGAAGAAGGCCUUCGGGUUGUAAAGCACUUUCAGUCAGGAGGAAAGGUUAGUCGUUAAUACCGGCUAGCUGUGACGUUACUGACAGAAGAAGCACCGGCUAACUCCGUGCCAGCAGCCGCGGUAAU
rnacentral:rRNA from 1 species